GAUGAACGCUGGCGGCGUGCCUAAUACAUGCCAGUCGAGCGAACGGACGAGAAGCUUGCUUUUCUGAUGUUAGCGGCGGACGGGUGAGUAACACGUGGAUAACCUACCUAUAAGACUGGGAUAACUUCGGGAAACCGGAGCUAAUACCGGAUAAUAUUUUGAACCGCAUGGUUCAAAAGUGAAAGACGGUCUUGCUGUCACUUAUAGAUGAAUCCGCGCUGCAUUAGCUAGUUGGUAAGGUAACGGCUUACCAAGGCAACGAUGCAUAGCCGACCUGAGAGGGUGAUCGGCCACACUGGAACUGAGACACGGUCCAGACUCCUACGGGAGGCAGCAGUAGGGAAUCUUCCGCAAUGGGCGAAAGCCUGACGGAGCAACGCCGCGUGAGUGAUGAAGGUCUUCGGAUCGUAAAACUCUGUUAUUAGGGAAGAACAUAUGUGUAAGUAACUGUGCACAUCUUGACGGUACCUAAUCAGAAAGCCACGGCUAACUACGUG
rnacentral:rRNA from 1 species